rnacentral:rRNA from 1 species
UACGUAGGGUGCAAGCGUUGUCGGCGAAUUAUUGGGCGUAAAGAGCUCGUAGGCGGUCUGUCGCGUCGGCUGUGAAAUCCCGAGGCUCAACCUCGGGUCUGCAGUCGAUACGGGCAAACUAGAGUAUUGCAGGGGAGACUGGAAUUCCUGGUGUAGCGGUGAAAUGCGCAGAUAUCAGGAGGAACACCGGUGGCGAAGGCGGGUCUCUGGGCAAUAACUGACGCUGAGGAGCGAAAGCGUGGGGAGCGAACAGG